rnacentral:rRNA from 1 species
AUGCCGGAAUGAGUAGCGAGAGAGAGGUGGGAAUCCUCUCGGCCGAAUAUCCAAGGUUUCCAGGGUAAAGCUGAUCUGCCCUGGGUAAGUCGGGGCCUAAGGAGAGGCAGAAAUGCGUAUCCGAUGGACAGCAGGUUGAGAUUCCUGCACUAUCUUAAAACAGAACUGUGGGGACAUUUGUGGAGAGCACAGGCGCGGAACGGAAAGCCGCGUGCAAGCGAAGGAGGAGUCACAUAGGAAAAACCGUGUGGCAAUCCAAAGGCGUGAUGCGGACCGAACUAAAGUAGGGAAGUGUGUGAGCCAUGAAUCAAGAAAAGCCGCUAUUGUUUUUAAGAUACCCGUACCGUAAACCGACACAGGUGGAUGAGGAGAGAAUCCUAAGGCCGGCGGAAGAAGCAUUGUUAAGGAACUCGGCAAAAUGACCCCGUAACUUCGGGAGAAGGGGUGCCAACGAGAGUUGGCCGCAGAGAAUAGGCUCAAGCAACUGUUUAGCAAAAACACAGGUCUAUGCAAAACCGUAAGGUGAGGUAUAUGGGCUGACGCCUGCCCGGUGCUGGAAGGUUAAGAGGAGAGGUUAGCGCAAGCGAAGCUUUGAAUUUAAGCCCCAGUAAACGGCGGCCGUAACGAUAACGGUCCUAAGGUAGCGAAAUUCCUUGUCGGGUAAGUUCCGACCCGCACGAAAGGCGUAAUGAUUUGAGCGCUGCCUCGACAAUGCAUCCGGUGAAAUUGAAGUACCAGUGAAGAUGCUGGUUACCCGCGCCAGGACGGAAAGACCCCAUGGAGCUUUACUCCAGUUUGGUACUGGGGUCCGGCAGUGCAUGUACAGGAUAGGUGGGAGGCUGAGAACCUGGAACGCCAGUUUCAGGGGAGCCAUUGUUGGGAUACCACCCUUGUGCUGCUGGGCUUCUAACCAGCGGCCUUUAUCAGGCCGGGGGACAAUGCCAGACGGGGAGUUUGACUGGGGCGGUCGCCUCCGAAAGGGUAUCGGAGGCGCCCAAAGGUUCCCUCAGAAUGGUCGGAAACCAUUCGAAGAGUGCAAAGGCAGAAGGGAGCUUGACUGCGACACCGACGGGUGGAGCAGGUACGAAAGUAGGACUUAGUGAUCCGGUGGUAUUAAGUGGGAAUGCCAUCGCUCAACGGAUAAAAGCUACCCUGGGAUAACAGGCUUAUCACUCCCAAGAGUUCACAUCGACGGAGUGGUUUGGCACCUCGAUGUCGGCUCAUCGCAUCCUGGGGCUGUAGUAGGUCCCAAGGGUUGGGCUGUUCGCCCAUUAAAGCGGUACGCGAGCUGGGUUCAGAACGUCGUGAGACAGUUCGGUCCCUAUCCGGCGUGGGCGUAGGAUAUUUGAGAGGAGCUGUCCUUAGUACGAGAGGACCGGGAUGGACUGACCUCUGGUGUACCGGUUGAACCGCCAGGUUCACGGCCGGGUAGCCAAGUCGGGAAGGGAUAAACGCUGAAGGCAUCUAAGCGUGAAGCCCCCCUCAAGAUGAGAUAUCCCAUUCGAAAGAAGUAAGACCCCUUGAAGACGAUGAGGUAGAUAGGGCAGAGGUGGAAGUGCCGUAAGGCAUGGAGCUGACUGUUACUAAUCGGUCGAGGGCUUGACC